rnacentral:rRNA from 1 species
AGAGUUUGAUCCUGGCUCAGAAUGAACGCUGGCGGUGUGCUUAACACAUGCAAGUCGAGCGUGAAAGGGACUUCGGUCCUGAGUAAAGCGGCAGACGGGUGAGUAACACGUGGGAAUUUACCAUUCAGUGAAGUAUACCUCCGAGAAAUCGGAGUUAAUUCUGCAUACGUCCUAAGGGAGAAAGGUGGCCUCUUGCCGCCGCUGAAUGAUAAGCCCGCGGCCUAUUAGCUAGUUGGUAGGGUAAAGGCCUACCAAGGCGAUGAUGGGUAGCCGGCCUGAGAGGGUGAUCGGCCACAUUGGAACUGAGACACGGUCCAGACUCCUACGGGAGGCAGCAGUGAGGAAUAUUGCGCAAUGGGCGAAAGCCUGACGCAGCGACACCGCGUGGAGGAUGAAGGUCUUAGGAUUGUAAACUUCUGCUAAGUGGGAAGAAAGAUCUAUAAGUAAUAUGUGUAGAAGAUGAUGGUACCACUAGAGAAAGCACUGGCUAAUCUCGUGCCAGCAGCCGCGGUAAUACGAGAGGUGCAAGCGUUAUUCGGAUUUAUUGGGCGUAAAGGGUGCGUAGGCGGUGCAUUAAGUCUGUCGUCAAAUUUCCCGGCCUACCUGGGAAUUGCGUUUGAAACUACAAGACUAGAGUGUGGCAGAGGGAGGUGGAAUUCCAUGUGUAGCAGUGAAAUGCGUAGAGAUAUGGGAGAACAUCGAUGGCGAAGGCAGCCUCCUGGGUUAACACUGACGCUCAUGCACGAAAGCGUGGGGAGCAAACAGGAUUAGAUACCCUGGUAGUCCACGCCCUAAACGAUGUCAACUAGUUGUCGGGCCUUACUAGGCUUGGUAACGAAGCUAACGCGUGAAGUUGACCGCCUGGGGAGUACGGUCGCAAGAUUAAAACUCAAAGGAAUUGACGGGGACCCGCACAAGCGGUGGAUUAUGUGGAUUAAUUCGAUGCAACGCGAAAAACCUUACCUACCCUUGACAUGUAGCGAAUUUUCUAGAGAUAGAUUAGUGCCUUCGGGAACGCUAACACAGGUGCUGCAUGGCUGUCGUCAGCUCGUGUCGUGAGAUGUUGGGUUAAGUCCCGCAACGAGCGCAACCCUUGUCAUUAAUUGCCAUCAUUUAGUUGGGCACUUUAAUGAGACUGCCGGUGACAAACCGGAGGAAGGUGGGGAUGACGUCAAGUCCUCAUGGCCCUUAUGGGUAGGGCUUCACACGUAAUACAAUGGCGCGUACAGAGGGUUGCCAACCCGCGAGGGGGAGCUAAUCUCAGAAAGCGCGUCGUAGUCCGGAUCGGAGUCUGCAACUCGACUCCGUGAAGUCGGAAUCGCUAGUAAUCGCGGAUCAGCAUGUCGCGGUGAAUACGUUCCCGGGUCUUGUACACACCGCCCGUCACACCAUGGGAGUGGGUUUCACCAGAAGCAGGUAGUCUAACCGUAAGGAGGGCGCUUGCCACGGUGAGAUUCAUGACUGGGGUGAAGUCGUAACAAGGUAACC